ensembl:lncRNA
CUUAGAACAGACAGUGUAAGUAGGCUCCUAUAGCCAAUGCUCUAGGUGGGUCCCCACAGUACAGUGCUGAAGUUAAAUAUUUACUUGCUGCACAGGACUUUGGUCUUGUGCAACCCUUAUGAAUGUCAGUUGCUGGAACCAGGAGGGAAGUACUGUGCCAAAGAUAAUGACAAGAAUACCCGUUUCUGAGAGCAACAGCAAAGAAACAUAAGUGCAAAAACUGAUGGACCAUUACAUCUUCUAAAAUGAGCCUAUUCACGCGUUUCUACUGGAAACUAGCAUGUCUUGAAGUACCAGCAUAGCACAUGGCUUCCACAGAAGACCUACAGUGGUGGUGUUUCCUCAGUGCCGGGAGUAGAAAAGGGGCAGCAGCUGAGAAACGCAAGUAAAUAACCCCAACUGCCUAGUGAUACUGAACUGCUUGAGAAGUGAUGGCAAGUACGUUUCAAUGCAACUUUUUCACCUCCUUUUCCUAAGGCAUGCUUUUUCCUGUACUGUUUCUGUAAUACCUCCCAGUGAUGCAUGCAGGGAGGAACCUGAUCAACUUGUUACUUACACAGAGGAGGAAAGAAGACAAGCCCAGAGGGGGAGGCAGAAGUGAGCAUUAAACAUUCUUCAUGGCUGCCUCUUUUAAUGAUCUGAAGAAAACUGUCGCUUGUGUCAUCUGAAGUGAUCUUCACAAAGCCCAAGAUAGAAAAGUCAUACCUGUAUUAGAUGCUUAGUGUCUGUAGUCGAAGUCUUACAUUGUGCCUUUAUCUUGAUUACCUUUGUUACCUUGGGCACUUGACGGGGAAGAAAGCCACGUUGUUCUGAUUGCUUCAUGUUUCCAAGAUACAUUUUUUUGAGGGGAAAGAUUUCCUGUGCUUUGUUCGACCUCUGAAGCAGAAUUUGGUCUUUCUGGGAAUUGUGUGAGAGCAAGUGAUUGCCUGGAGCAAGAGAAUACAUUCUGAAACUGCAGUAGCAAAGACCUUCAUCUCAAAGGCCACCUGCUACCGCUCUCCUUUUCUUCAGCCUUAAAGUUCACCAGGUUACAAACUCGGCUUGUCAUCUUCCUAUACAAUGGGUAGCAGUUCUGCAGAAGAUGAACAGAAUGGUUUCUCAAGGAUUACUUCCUGCUUAUAUCCCAGCUAGCAGUCUCCUCCUGUGGAAACCUUGGUGUAGUCUUCAGAAGACAUACUGAGUUGUCUUUUGGCUGCCUUUCUGGAUUCUCCCUUUACUGCUUAGUCUUUUGUGGGCCAGUCAGUAAAUCCAUGUCAACACAUAGCUUUUGACCUUCAGGUUUGCAACCCAGCUAACACAGAUACUUGGUAGGAGCUGAAUAUUCAAUAACAAACCUUCAACUGUUUCGUCCACAAAUUGUUGUAUAUCGAUCAACUUAUGCAAAGGGUUUUCUUAUAAAAAGCUAAACAAACUACUGGGCAUUAUUGAUUGAAGAAAAUGGGGAAAAUAUGUGAUAUUCUUUAUUGAUGUGGCUGAGCUUUGCACUUGUUAAGUAAUGCUCUGCGUAUGUAUUUUCUGUUCAUGGUUGAUGUUUAUUUUAUUUGCUGAGAUCAGUCAGAAAUACCUCGAUAGCAUGCUAGGAUUGUGUUUCUGGAGUGAACUCUAUUGGUGAAAGGGAAAUCCUAGCCAGCAUCACUGUGCACAGGUCUGCAGGUGCUUUGGUGAUGUUCCCUUAUGUGAUACUGUCUUAGUUCUGAAUGUGAGGCACAAAGGGCAGAGCACCUUCUCAGUCAUUUUGCUUUUAAGUAGUUCUGAUAGUUGAGUAGAGCUGUUCUAAAAUGUUUUCUUCUCUUUCAACUUAUUCUCUUCACCUUAAACACAAACACAAGAAUCCCAUGGGCGUUUCAAGACUAUGGCUCUUUCAAGACUAUCUAGGGUCAGUGAUUGCAGGGAAUGCAAGGUGCAGUCAUUUUUUGUGUUUUGUUCUGUCUGCUGUUUGGCACAAGAGAGACUCCCCUGGCCCCCAAGUGCUGCCAACAAUUACAGACACUUACCAGUCCCCAGCGGGAAUAACUGUUUUCAGCCAAUAUUUACAGCCUGCUCUGUGCUGGAAGAAUGGAGCUACUGCUGCUACUGUAAGUUGGAGAUGUAGGGAGGCUUCCUUUUGGCUCUUCAGUAAGAAAUAGGGUGUAAAAUACAGCUCUGAUAGUGGCUGUUAGCUUUAUUAAUUGCCCAAGAAGUGCUGCAGAAGAUGUUGCAUAGCUGCAGGCUUCCCCAGCUCC